rnacentral:rRNA from 1 species
AUUGAACGCUGGCGGCAGGCCUAACACAUGCAAGUCGAGCGCGAAAGUUCUUCGGAAUGAGUAAAGCGGCGGACGGGUGAGUAAUACAUGGGAAUCUGCCUGGUAGUGGGGGACAACGUUUCGAAAGGAACGCUAAUAUCGCAUACGCCUACGGGGAAAGGGGGGAAGGUCUUCGGACCUCUCGCUAUCAGAUGAGCCCA